AUGAAUAGAUCGGAAGUUUAUCCCGCAAAAAAAGCAUGGGACAAAUUAACUAGGUCUAAAGGAAAGGGAGGUAUGGGAUUUCGGGAUCUGAGAUCUUUUAACCAAGCCCUCUUAGUUAAACAAGCAUGGUGGUUAUUGGUUUAUCCAGACUCGUUGUGUGUUAAGCUGAUGAAGGCAAAGUAUUAUCCUCACGGACAUAUUCUUGAUACGUCUGCAUCAGUGACUUGGCAAGGUAUGAUGCAUGGUCUGGAACUACUUAAGAAGGGAGUCAUUUGGCAGGUGGGUGAUGGAUCUAGCAUUAAUAUUUGGAGGGAUAAUUGGAUACCCAGGAGCUCUGGUCUUAAAAUUUCAGCUAAAAGGCAUAAUACCAUAUUGAAGUGGGUCUUUGAUUUGUUCUUGAGCGGGAGAAAGGUUUGGGAUGAAAACUUGAUCAAGUAUCUUUUCUAUCCCCAUGAUGCAGAGCAGAUUCUUAAGAUUCGUGUUCACACCUUUGGGGAUGGGGAUUUUAUUGCGUGGCACUAUGAGAAGAAUGGUUUAUUUUCAGUUAAAAGUGCGUACAAUUUUGCUCUUAAGUUGAAGGAUAGUCAGGAUAAAGUGGGUCAAUCUAGUGGCCAACCAAACGGAGAAAGAAGGCUUUGGAAUCUAAUUUGGAAAGCUAGCAUUCCUUAG
rnacentral:rRNA from 1 species